rnacentral:rRNA from 1 species
GAUGAACGCUAGCGGCAGGCUUGAUACAUGCAAGUCGAGGGGCAGCAUGAAUGUAGCAAUACAUUUGAUGGCGACCGGCAAACGGGUGCGGAACACGUACACAACCUUCCUAUAAGUGGGGAAUAGCCCAGAGAAAUUUGGAUUAAUACCCCGUAACAUAAUGAUGUGGCAUCACAUUAUUAUUAUAGCUUCGGCGCUUAUUGAUGGGUGUGCGGCUGAUUAGAUAGUUGGCGGGGUAACGGCCCACCAAGUCUACGAUCAGUAGCUGAUGUGAGGGCAUGAUCAGCCACACGGGCACUGAGACACGGGCCCGACUCCUACGGGAGGCAGCAGUAAGGAAUAUUGGUCAAUGGACGCAAGUCUGAACCAGCCAUGCCGCGUGAAGGAUUAAGGUCCUCUGGAUUGUAAACUUCUUUUAUCUGGGACGAAAAAAGGCUAUUCUUAGUCACUUGACGGUACCAGAUGAAUAAGCACCGGCUAACUCCGUGCCAGCCGCCGCGGUAAAAC